CCCACAUCUGCUUCAUUUCUUUUGCUCUCACAUUUAAGAGACUUUUCAGAUUUGCAUUACACAUUUCUCCUCUGAUAUCCAAUAACUACUAUCCCCCUCUGGCUCCAAGAACUCAAUGUGUUGCCAUUUUGAAGCAAUUAAUCAUCAUUUAAUGCCCCAAGUGUAACCAAGCUUGAAUUCUCAGCUUUCAUACCAUUCAACAAUCUUUCUUGGACAUCUAAAGAAAUAAUGUCUUUGUCAAGAAGUAAUUUUAUCAACUCUUCUGCUUUGUCUAAAUCUCCCACCUCUUUCAAGUGCUCCAGACAGGAAGUCACACUUUCACAGGUUGGCUUCCACCCGGGUGUAGAAACUACCACUGCUUUUUUCAUCAUUUCAACAGCAUUUGAAGUCUGAUUAUUCUGAAGGUAUCCUUCUGCCAAAUGAAACCAUGUAAACGCAUCAGGUUUCUCUCCUUUCGAUAUUACCCUGUUGAUAAGUGUUUCAGCCCUAUCCAAAUGACCUUUUCUGGAAUAUGCACCAAUGAGGAAAUUUGGAACACGAAUAUCAUAUUUUAGAUUCUGGGAUUCCCACUCCAAAUCUUUUCUGCACUUUCAAAGUCAUCAAGCUUUGAUAGAGACGAGAUGAUGCUAAAAUACCCAAUAUUGUAAAUCUUUGCUUUCUUCUUGUAUAGUUCCCAGAGUCUUAAUACUUCAUCUUUCUUCCCUGUUGCAGCAUAUUGUGUCAGAAGGAAAUUAUAUGCUGUACUUCUUUUUUUGCUAGUAAUAAGUCCCUCAGAUUUCUUCAGCAUUUCCAAAGCCUUGUCCACAAGCCCAGCUUUUGUAUACCCACUUGCUGCGGCAGCAUAACUAGCCCAGUCCAAAACAACCCUUGAAUCAGAUUCCAUCUUUUUUAUAGUCUUCUCCAUUCCCUCAAUGUCAGAAACAGCUGCAUAUGCACUCAGUCGAAUGGUAAGUGUAAAUUUGUCAUAAGCAAUGCCAUUUUCUUCCAUCUCAUGCGUUAGUGCAUCAAAUUUCUCAACAUUUCCAGUCUGAUAAUAAAGAUUAAGCAUUACAUUG
rnacentral:misc_RNA from 1 species